UGUGAAGGCUCGAUGUCCCAGCAUAGGGGAAUGUUCGAGUGGAUGAAGAUGAUGAUCAACAAAAGGAGGAAGCUAAGCAGAGGGCAGAGUCUGGUAAAAAUGCAAUAAAAGUUGUCCCUAUCCUUACUGUUCCUAGUAUUGAUGUGGCCUCUUUGGGCAAUUGUUAUCAAUGCCUUGUACUUCUCCUGAAGAAUUAAGACUUCAACCAUAAAUGGAAGUUCUUGAAGUGGGGCACAACUAUGUUAAAAGACUCAAGGCUGAUUGACCUAAUAGAAUUUUUUCCAUUAGUUUAUUUAUUUAUUUACUUUAUAUACCAAUUCCUGCCUCCCCCACCCCCAUCCUGUCUCACAGAUUCCAUCCCAACAUCUCCCUCCCGUUCUUCUCUGAGAGGGUGGAGCCCACCCCUGGGUAACUCCAGACCCUGGCACAUCAAGUCUCUGCAAAGCUAGGUACAUUCCCUUUCACUAAAGUCAGACAAGGCAGCCCAGUUAGGGGAGCAGGAUCCACAGGUGACAGAUUUAGGGACAGUUCACACUCCAGUUGUUGGGGAACCUGCAUGAAGACCGAGCUAAACAUCCACUACCUAUGUGCAGGGUGCCUAAGUCUGGCCCAUGUAUGCUUUUUGGUGGGUGGUUCACUCUCUAAGAGCCCCUAAGGGUCCAGGUUAGUUGACUCUGUUGGUCUUCCUGUGGAGUUCUUAUGCCUGUGGGUGAGGGAGUAGAUGUAUCCUGCUUGCACUACCUAGUUUUAUUUCAGCUUGACACAAGCUAGAGUGAUUUGGGGGAAGGAACAUCAAUUGAGAAACCUGUAGAACAUUUUCUUGAUUGCUGACUGCUGUGGAAGAAUCCACCUUACUGUGCGGGUGGUACCAGCCCUGGGCUGGUGGUCCUGGGUUCUAUAAGAAAGCAGGCUGAGUAAGCCUUGAGAAGCAUGUCCUUAGACAAAACUCUUUCAUGGCCUUGGAAUCUUUUCCUACCUGCAGGUUCUCGCCCUGGCUUCCCUUGAUGAUGACCUAGUGGAAGCUGAAACAAAUCCUUUCCUCACCAAGUUGUGUUCUGACAUGGUGUUUUAUCAUAGCAAUAAAAGCCCUAAGAACUUGCCCUACCAAAUUUCCACACCAUCAGUAUUCCUGACCAUGUCUCAAUGUCAGUAAUAUGAUAAAUUUUUGUAAAACAGCCAUCAUGUUUUAAACAUAUUUUAAUUAAUGAUCACUUCCCCUCUGAUAAAAUUCUUAUGACUAUGUAGAACCCAACACAAGGGGAAGAGUUAGCCAAAAACAAGAAUCCUGGCUGUGCUGGCAACUGGCUUCACAGCCUUAGAAAUAUCCUUUGCCUAUCAGUUUAACCACCUGGAAAAACAGUGGCAAAAAUGCCUCUAAGAUGCUUUCCAAUUUUAAUACUCUAUCAUGGAUCUUUCUGCAAGAACAAAAAGUUAAUAUUAAAGCAAAUCUUUCUUUCAUCUCAUUUUCAAGGUGUCUUUCAAAUCCAUUUGUUUAAAGUAAGCUAAGCUGUGCCUUAAUUAUGUGAUCUAAGCUCCCGAAGCUUGAAUUCACUAAGUACAGGGCAGCUCUGUGAGCUGGUAACAAGGAAAAGCAAAGAUACAUUGUGCAUGGUUUUAUUUACAGAAACAGAGUGUAAAGUAAUUUCAUUUACAUAUAUACAGAUCUGGCUGCUCUUCAGAAAUAUAGUCUUUAUAUCAAAGUGUUACCCAAUGAAAUGUUAAUGUUUCCCUAAUACAACAAAAUAUCACUAUUAAAAAAUCUUAACUGUGA
rnacentral:sRNA from 1 species